rnacentral:rRNA from 1 species
CCUACGGGUGGCUGCAGUCGAGAAUCAUUCACAAUGGGGGAAACUCUGAUGGUGCGACGCCGCGUGGGGGAAUGAAGGUCUUCGGAUUGUAAACCCCUGUCAUGUGGGAGCAAAUUAAAAAGAUAGUACCACAAGAGGAAGAGACGGCUAACUCUGUGCCAGCAGCCGCGGUAAUACAGAGGUCUCAAGCGUUGUUCGGAAUCACUGGGCGUAAAGCGUGCGUAGGCUGUUUCGUAAGUCGUGUGUGAAAGGCGCGGGCUCAACCCGCGGACGGCACAUGAUACUGCGAGACUAGAGUGAUGGGGGGGGAACCGGAAUUCUCGGUGUAGCAGUGAAAUGCGUAGAUAUCGAGAGGAACACUCGUGGCGAAGGCGGGUUCCUGUACAUUAACUGACGCUGAGGCACGAAGGUCAGGGGAGCGAAAGGGAUUAGAUACCCUAGUAGUC